rfam:Aequorivita sublithincola DSM 14238, complete genome.
GGGGCCGACUGGUUUUGACAGCGGGUCUAAUUGUAUUGUAAGCAUGUCGAGCGCUGGGAUAUAGCUCGUAAAUAUCAUAUUUCACACUUUUUAAACGGCGAGAAUAACUACGCCCUAGCUGCAUAAUCCGAAUCAUAGUAGGAUGUGCCUCGGCCCACAAGGUGGGUAAGCAGGAAGUCACUCAACGGCCUUGGUUUGCGGCGGUUGAUUUAGUGGCUUCGUAAAAGUAAACCUAGCGGCAAUAGUGCUUUGAUGUUGCCGUGAAGCUCAAGUAAAGAUAAGGGGUGCGUUGGUAGUUUUCGACCGGCAAUCUCACGAAAAUCUAAAUGAAAACUAAGCAUGUAGAAGGCAUUAUAAUUGCGCGUUUGGACGGGAGUUCGAAUCUCCCCGGCUCCACUG